UACGAAGGGGGCUAGCGUUGCUCGGAAUCACUGGGCGUAAAGGGUGCGUAGGCGGGUCUUUAAGUCAGGGGUGAAAUCCUGGAGCUCAACUCCAGAACUGCCUUUGAUACUGAAGAUCUUGAGUUCGGGAGAGGUGAGUGGAACUGCGAGUGUAGAGGUGAAAUGCGUAGAUAUCUGGAGGAACACCGGUGGCGAAGGCGACAUCCUGGACCGGCAUUGACGCUGAGGCGCGAAAGCCAGGGGAGCAAACGGG
rnacentral:rRNA from 1 species